rnacentral:rRNA from 1 species
AGUGAACGCUGGCGGUAGGCCUAACACAUGCAAGUCGAACGGCAGCACAGUAAGAGCUUGCUCUUACGGGUGGCGAGUGGCGGACGGGUGAGGAAUACAUCGGAAUCUACUUUUUCGUGGGGGAUAACGUAGGGAAACUUACGCUAAUACCGCAUACGACCUACGGGUGAAAGCAGGGGAUCUUCGGACCUUGCGCGAUUGAAUGAGCCGAUGUCGGAUUAGCUAGUUGGCGGGGUAAAGGCCCACCAAGGCGACGAUCCGUAGCUGGUCUGAGAGGAUGAUCCGCCCCACUGGAACUGAGACACGGUCCAGACUCCUAAGGGAGGCAGCAGUGGGGAAUAUUGGACAAUGGGCGCAAGCCUGAUCCAGCCAUACCGCGUGGGUGAAGAAGGCCUUCGGGUUGUAAAGCCCUUUUGUUGGGAAAGAAAAGCAGCAGGUUAAUACCCCGCUGUUCUGACGGUACCCAAAGAAUAAGCACCGGCUAACUUCGUG